rnacentral:rRNA from 1 species
UGAGGAAUAUUGCUCAAUGGGCGCAAGCCUGAAGCAGCGACGCCGCGUGGAUGAAGAAGGUUUUCGGACUGUAAAAUCCUUUUCUGUGUGACGAGAGUGGACGGUAGCACAGGAAUAAGUCUCGGCUAACUACGUGCCAGCAGCCGCGGUAAAACGUAGGAGGCAAGCGUUAUCCGGAGUUACUGGGCGUAAAGCGCGUGUAGGUGGGUUGGUAAGUUACUUAUGAAAGCCCCUGGCUAAACUAGGGGAGGUUGAGUGAUACUGCCAGUCUUGAAUAGAGGAGAGGUUGACGGAAUUCCGCGUGUAGUGGUGAAAUGCGUAGAGAUGCGGAAGAACACCAGUGGCGAAGGCGGUCAACUGGCCUCAUAUUGACACUCAGACGCGAAGGCAUGGGUAGCGA